rnacentral:rRNA from 1 species
UACGUAGGGGGCGAGCGUUGUCCGGAAUUAUUGGGCGUAAAGAGCUUGUAGGCGGUUUGUCGCGUCUGCUGUGAAAAUCCGGGGCUCAACCCCGGACUUGCAGUGGGUACGGGCAGACUGGAGUGUGGUAGGGGAGAUUGGAAUUCCUGGUGUAGCGGUGGAAUGCGCAGAUAUCAGGAGGAACACCAAUGGCGAAGGCAGCUCGCUGGGACGGUACUGACGCUGAGACGCGAAAGCGUGGGGAGCAAACAGG